GGGGAUGUAGUAUAGUGGUAUUAUGUUCGCUUCGCAUUUUCUGGAUUUGCGUACAGAUUUUAUUUGUGCAUGGAUAGAUGGAUCAUUGUGUGUUUGUGAAAGGUCCCCGGUUCGAUCCCGGGCAUCUCCA